UAGACGCCGCGGCAGGCCUAACACAUGCAACUCGAGCGGUGAAGGGAGCUUGCUCCUGGUUCAGCGGCGGACGGGUGAGUAAUGCCUAGGAAUCUGCCUGGUAGUGGGGGAUAACGUCCGGAAACGGGCGCUAAUACCGCAUACGUCCUGAGGGAGAAAGUGGGGGAUCUUCGGACCUCACGCUAUCAGAUGAGCCUAGGUCGGAUUAGCUAGUUGGUGGGGUAAAGGCCUACCAAGGCGACGAUCCGUAACUGGUCUGAGAGGAUGAUCAGUCACACUGGAACUGAGACACGGUCCAGACUCCUACGGGAGGCAGCAGUGGGGAAUAUUGGACAAUGGGCGAAAGCCUGAUCCAGCCAUGCCGCGUGUGUGAAGAAGGUCUUCGGAUUGUAAAGCACUUUAAGUUGGGAGGAAGGGCAAGUAAGUUAAUACCUUGCUGUUUUGACGUUACCAACAGAAUAAGCACCGGCUAACUUCGUGCCAGCAGCCGCGGUAAUACGAAGGGUGCAAGCGUUAAUCGGAAUUACUGGGCGUAAAGCGCGCGUAGGUGGUUCAGCAAGUUGGAUGUGAAAUCCCCGGGCUCAACCUGGGAACUGCAUCCAAAACUACUGAGCUAGAGUACGGUAGAGGGUGGUGGAAUUUCCUGUGUAGCGGUGAAAUGCGUAGAUAUAGGAAGGAACACCAGUGGCGAAGGCGACCACCUGGACUGA
rnacentral:rRNA from 1 species